rnacentral:tRNA from 1 species
GCCUGGGUGGCUCAGUUGGUUAAGCACCUGACUUCAGCUCGGGUCAUGAUCUCACGGUUCGUGAGUUCAAGCCCCAUGUCAGGCU